UGGGGAAUAUUGCACAAUGGGCGCAAGCCUGAUGCAGCAACGCCGCGUGAAGGAAGACGGUUUUCGGAUUGUAAACUUCUGUUCUUAGUGAAGAAUAAUGACGGUAGCUAAGGAGCAAGCCACGGCUAACUACGUGCCAGCAGCCGCGGUAAUACGUAGGUGGCAAGCGUUGUCCGGAAUUACUGGGUGUAAAGGGAGCGCAGGCGGGUGAUCAAGUCAGCUGUGAAAACUACGGGCUUAACCCGUAGACUGCAGUUGAAACUGUUCAUCUUGAGUGAAGUAGAGGUUGGCGGAAUUCCGAGUGUAGCGGUGAAAUGCGUAGAUAUUCGGAGGAACACCGGUGGCGAAGGCGGCCAACUGGGCUUUAACUGACGCUGAGGCUCGAAAGUGUGGGGAGCAAACA
rnacentral:rRNA from 2 species